GAAGUUGUAGCUCAGUGACAGAAUGUUUGCCUAGCAUGCAGGAGGCCCUGGGUUCAAUUCCCAGCACUGCA
rnacentral:tRNA from 1 species